rnacentral:miRNA from 10 species
AUCAUAUUACUUUGAUGCAAAAGUAAUUGCGAUUUCUGCCAUUACUUUUAAAUAGCAAAAAUCACAAUUACUUUUGCACCAACCUAAUAGUU